ensembl:lncRNA
GGAACCGGUAGGAGAGAGAGAGAGAGGGGGAUAGAGAGGAGAAGAGAGGAGCGCAGGGCUGAAAUUGACAUUUGAUACUCAGGAAGUUCAGGAGUCUGCUUGGAUUUCUUUUGUUUCAUUGUAAUUCUGCAGUCCUGCUGCGGGCAACACAGACGGGAGGUUUGUGUCACUUCCACACAAUGUUAAUAGCGGAAAAUCCUUAAAUGAUAAUGAUAGGUUAAGGACUAAAAUGUGAGUUGGGUCCGACUUCUGAGCGGUUCGUGACGCACGACGAUUGACUGAGAGGAAGAGAAUACAGUGAAGACCUCAACCUAAUCCUGCGGAUUAAUACUGAAUUGGGCUAGCUAUAUUUGAUCUACGUGGAUGUCAUCAGUGGACCUUUGCAGAGGCUCUUUUGCUUUUUGUGCUGAUUGGCCAUUAAAACAGAGAAUGGGUAAGUGCUUAGAUUGUGGCGAUACACAUAUUACUUGACAUAAAGGAUCUCAGCUCUGGCUGAUAUUUUCUGGGCAACUGAUUCAGGUUAACUGCACUUUUUGUCUCGUGUUACAGAUAUAUCACGCACGUAUAACGCCUAACCGUCUGGGCAUGAAUCUAAGGAUUUGACAUGUUCUUAAUUGUGUGUGCACACCUGCUGACUCAUCACUGAAAUGCGUCGUUGUUUAUCUAGCAUUCAUAUUUGCUUGUGUGUAAUGCAAAUAAAUACUUUUAAAAGACCGA